AGUGAGCAAGGGAGGUCAUUCGCAAUUCUGUCACUCCUAAAUUUGUCUGAACCUUUUUGGAAGGCAUUUGUAUUUCCUGCCAGCACCACCUCUUGGGGGUGAUGAAUUCCAAUAAGUUUCAAUCCGUUUAUUACUCACUGUGAGAGAAAUUGCUUCCUUUUAUGUCUGGAACUAAACCUGGAUCACAUUUCACAGGAUAUCCCCUAGUCACAGAGUUUUGGAAUCUGACCUGGAGGCAAAGGUAUGGAUGAGAUCACAUAGCAAGGAGAUUGCUGCUGAGAAGGAGUCAAAGCCUGGGUUUUACUUGUGGCCUUGCUGCUACACCAACUUUACUGACAUGCCAUUCUGGGAUAGUCUUUUCUCUCUGAGGCUUCAAGAGAAGAUGAGAAUACAUUCCAUCCCUACCUCUUGGAGUCAUUGUGAGGACUCAGAUGAAGUGCAGCAUCACGCAACAGAACUCAGAUGCCCUCACUGCAUCUCAAAUGCACUCAGGCUGCCAUGCUGUGAGCUGCCCUAUGGAGAAGUCCACAUGGCAAGGAACUGAGGGAUACCUUCAGCCAACAGCCAAUGAGGAACUGAUGCUCCCAGAGAACAGCCUGUAGGAAACUAAUUCCUGCUAACAACCUUCAGAUGACUGCAGGUCUGGCUGGCAACUCAACUGAAGCCUGAGAGAGAUCCUGAAGCAGCGGGUGCAGCUAAGCCUCUGCUGGAUUCCCAUUAGACAGAAACUCAUCACCAGUUUUCCAUGAGAGCACCAAGCCUGUGAUUUCAGUAGAAGCUUAACUGCUCGUCUUUGAGGCACCAAAUCUGAAAAGCGAUCUUCCUGAAGACCAUGCUAAGGCAAGAACAUCCAUAUAAGGGAGAAUUCCUGAAAGUGUUCUAACACUUCAGUGGAAACUCAUCAAUGCUCUGUACCCAGAAUAAUCCCAUUUCGGAGGGUGCAUGGAUGGGGCAGAUGCAUGAUGUGCCCUGAGGAGCAGAGGAAACAUGGGCUUGGGUUGUGAAGGAUCUCAGAGAAGCUCUCCUGGACUGGCCCAAAUGUCUCAAACUUUAAUGUGCACAUAAAUCUAUUAAAAUGCAGCUUCCACUUCAACACAUCUGGAGUGAGACCAGGUAUUCUGCAUUUUUAACAAACUCUGGUGUAUGCUGGCGGAUGUCUGGAGUGCUGCUGGUCCAUGGACCGCAUGUUGAGUAGCAAGGCCCUGGAGGAAAUCUUGUCCAAGGUUGCAAAUUCAAAUGUCUUGGGGACCAGGUAGGCAAUGAAGAAUGACAGAGAUGGGAGUAAGACAAUUUGGAAUGGCAGAACCUGUGAGGAAAUGGAGGACAAGCAAGUCCAUUAAAGGUAUCCAAAAGCAUUGGAAGAAAGAGAGGAGAGAGAAAGAGAGGGAGGGAGCAGGCGGAGAAGGGAGGCUUUUUUCUGCAAUGCUGCAGAAAAGCCUUUUAGCCUAGAGGGAUGGAGCCCUGGGUUAGACUUCAUGUUGGGGGUUCUUUGGUCCUGCUCUAGCCAGGCAUCUGGG
rnacentral:lncRNA from 1 species